AAGAUCAGCUGGGGUGGUGUGUAUGACAAGAUGAGCUGGGGUGGUGUGUGUGUGUGAGAGAGAGAGAGACAAGAUGAGCUAGGGUGGUGUGUGUGUGUGAGAGAGACACACAAGAUGAGCUAGGGUGGUGUGUGUUUGACAAGAUCAGCUGGGGUGGUGUGUGUGUGUGUGUUUGACAAGAUCAGCUGGGGUGGUGUGUGUGUGUGUGUGACAAGGUCAGCUGGGGUGGUGUGUGUGUGACAAGAUCAGCUGGGGUGGUGUGUGUGUGUGUGAGUGUGACAACAUCAGCUGGGGUGGUGUGUGGGUGUGUGUGUCUGUUCCAUAGCAGUGAGAGGAAUCAGAGUAUCUCUAAGCAGGGACCAGAUUUUAGACUAACAAAUCUGCACCACUUUUAGUUAUAUUCUCUUUUCCAUUACACUAGAAUCCCCACACUCUCGAACCAAGCCCAAAGUCAGACCAGAACGUCAAGAAUCAGUCAUCUUUUCUUAAUCCCCAUAUACUGAAACUGUGCAAGAUUUGGCUUGUGGGGUCACACCCUAAGCAUUCCUCAAUUCUUUCCCAGAACCUUGUGCAAAACUUUAAACAGAGGGAACAGACAAGGAUACCAGGAAGACAAAAAAGAAAAGAGGAAACCUGUAAUCAGCUAGAAAGAAAAGGAUGAUAAGUAAAUAUGUGUUAGCUGUACUGAGUUAAAGAAAUAUAUUGGCUGGGCACCGUGGCUUGUGCCUGUAAUCCUAGAACUAUGGGAGGUCGAGGUGGGCAGAUCACCUGAGGUCAGGAGUUUGAGACCAGCCUGGCCAACAUGGAGAAACCCUGUCUCUACUAAAAAUACAAAAAUUAGCUGUGCGUGGCUGCAUGCACCUGUAGUCCCAUCUACUUGGGAGUCUGAGGCAGGAGAAUUGCUUGAACCCAGGAGGCAGAGGUUGCAGUGAGCCAAGAUUGCACCACUGCAUGCCAGCCUGGGUAACAUGACAGAACAAGACUCCAUCUUAAAAAAAGAAAGAAAGA
rnacentral:lncRNA from 10 species